rnacentral:misc_RNA from 1 species
GUGGGACUUAGAUGAAACCACCAUAAUCAAGAGUCGUACACACCACUGAUGCAGAUUAUAAUUUUGCCAACAUAUGUCCUUGGACAACGGACAGGUACACAAGUGACAAGUUGGAGUUACCCACCCUCUCCUUAUUUCAGCGGAAAAAAAAAGAUCGUCUGCAGUGUGAGAUUCAAUUUUCAGAGAAAACCAUAAAGGGGUUUUAGCUUGUUUCUCCUCCAUUAUGCUUUCUUUUUUCUAAUGGCCACAGCCACAGGGCUCUGCUGUGCUCCUGCUGCUUUCACAGACCCACUUGCCUUUCAUCUCAAAUAGUCCACCGUCAGAAGAUCCUAACUUUGUGGACUAAAUGUACAUGUUCCUUCGUAUAUUAUAAUUAAACAGACUAUAGAUACUGCUCCCACAUGACUUUGUAGACCUGUACAUAAUUACAUGCAUUUUCAACCAAUAAUGAAUUGAAUGUUACGUAAAAGUUAUCUUAUUAGCUUUCAACAAUUUCUCUGGAAAUUAACUUCAUUUGAAAAGCAGAUUUAUGAUGAAGUAUUCUUGGAAGGACCAAUAGAGUCUGCUGAGCCUGCCAAGGCCAUUGUAGUUACUAGUUGAGUGCACGUCCAAACACUUUGAUGGAAAGAACAUUCGUAAAGUUGACCUAUCUGUUGAUGCAAAGUGUGCUCAAAA